UCUAGCAGCUGAACAAGCACUGGCUUCAAGUUAAACAAUAUGAAAACAAUGACAAUUCAUCCAGCCCACGGACACUGACUGAUCCCCUGUUCCACCAGCCAUGACUACAGCUUCGGUUGGACAAGAGACUGAUUUCAGGAACUUUCUCCAGAUAAGAAGACCACCACCAACCAUGGACUGGUUCUGGCCGGUUUACAGAGGCUGUGCAGUUGAGUGCCUUCAUGUCCUGAAAAGACUUUAUGACAUAUUAUGCCUAAUUGUCAUAUAUGGAAAUAUUAAGUCUCCACCCUAAGGUUAACAGGUGCCAAAGGAAAAUAAAAAAUGCAGAGAGAGGGGACAAUGCACAUCUAUCACGAGGCAGAAGCAGCCACGGGGAUGCUGACAUUGUGAGGGUGAAGAGCAAUCAGCUGUCCUGAGGCAGAGGAGAGCAGAGCUGACAGUCAAGCACUAGGGUGGAGAUCAGAAAACACUCCAUGGAAGGGGCUGCAGGAAGACCUGGUCACCAAGCUGCUUUGUGCCCUGAAGCACAUGUCUGCCUCCUGAGCCAGAGGGUCCCAAUUCCCGCAGGAUUCCCCACCCUGUGGGCUCCCACACACACCACGCACAUGUGGCUCAACUCGGGCUGGUCCCCACACCCCUAUGCACCUGAAUCUUACUCUUCAAGACAUCCCACUUGGGAACCUUCCCAGAUCUUCCUUGGUUCUCUUGUUCUUCCUGACCAGUAAUGCAUCUUCCCUCCGACCUACCCUGUGACCAGUGCCUCUCUACUUUUCACUCUGACUUUUUUUUGUUUUUUUUUUAAAGUCCCCCAUUACAGGUUUGAAAUGUGACUUGAAGAAUGAGGCUUUUGUUUUGUUUUGUUUUGUUUUGUUUUUGUCCCUGUCAAUCCCAGCAGAGGCCGUGCACGUGGUCAAAGCUUGAGAUCACAGACGGUCAGGUCAUCCUGCUCUGACAAGACCACCCCACCCCUACCCACUAUGGCCAUUUUACAGAGCAGAAGACCGAGGCCCAGAGGAGUGAUGAGAUUUGACGUUAGUCUGCCGAGUCUCAUCUUGUCUGGGACAGGAAGAGCCGAUGUCCCUGGUGGGUUCCUGUUUAAAGCCCCAGUCUCCUUCACACUUGUAAAUCCCUUCUCCACACUUCGGUUGAGGGAACCUGAGUUAAUUUCAAGGGCUUUCAAUGACCAUUUGCAAUUAACUGCAUGGGAAAUAUCUUCAGUCAAUUAGCUUUGGCACUUUUCCAGGGCUGUCAACAACUGCUCUGGAGAAAUCAGACUUAAUUAUCUUGUUGUCUUUUCUUCUUUGUUUUUUAAUGUUAAUCUCAUUUGUGAGGGUUUCUGUAAACAACUAGGUAAGCGGAAACUUAAUUUGAAUGAAGACAAUUUGGACAAAGUAACCAUAUUUUACCAACAACUGGAAGGCUUUAAAAACCUCAGUUGAGUCUGUCCUGUAGUUUAUGGGAUCUCCAUGUCCUCCUAAAAUCACUAGAAUCCCGCUCGUAGGGAACAGAAAUUUAGCCCUAUAGGGAUGCUCACUUUUUCUCUUGACUUGUUUUUUGAGCAGCAAAGAGCGCAGAAGAGGAACUCAGGAGGGGACAGUCAGCGUUUUGUUUGGGUUCAUCCUCUUCAGAUCCAAUAAUAAACUUACUGAAUUAAACUAAACAGCCCUUUAAUAGCAGUAACUGAUGGCUGCUUAGGGAGGAAGCAAGAUGCAGCACAGCAUUUAAAAACAAGACACAAGGAAGAUUAGCAGGGGUUUGCAGUGAGUGGCUGUCCCUUCUGCCUGCUUACCCAUGCAUUCUGCCUCCAGGAACAGCAACCUCAUUUUCGUUAGCAACCAGUCCCCUGCCAGGACUAGAAAAAUCCUUGGCGUUUGAGGAAGGAUGAGCCCCCACCACCCAGUUCUAGUUAUGGGCAGCUGGUCAAUUCCACUGCAUUGUCUGGCCACAGUUGUUGGCUUGGGAUGGAAAAAUAACCCAGGCUGGGCCACUGAGGGUCAAUCAUGGGACGUUUUCUGAGCUGCCACUUUUCUGUGGGUGGUGCUGGGUUGUAAACAUGAGUAUCUGGUCCUGUUACCAGCUAUGUUGCCACUUCAUGAGAAGAGUCAGCUUCAUGAGAAUGAAGGAAAAACAAAGGAAAGCAGAGAAGAGAGGGAGAAAGAGAGUUUCCUGAUGCCAACAGUUGAUACCUGAAUCAAGAUUGGAGCAUUUAAUUGUUGAUCUGAGACCCUCUUGACGUAUCUUCCCUUUUGAUAUGGUGACCCAGAAGGUUAAAUAUGGUGGCUCCAUCAUCAGCUUGAGUCCCUGAGUGACUCCAAUGAACUGAGCCUUCUACCGUCUUCAGUGGACACAUAGCAUGUGCAAGAAAUCCACUUUUAUUGUUGAACUUAUUGACAUUUGGAGAGUCAUUUGUUAAUGCAGCAUAGACCUAACGUAUUCUGACUGAUACAGGCUCCAGACUAACAAGAUAUAUAAAAUAAAGGCAAAAAUAUCAACUGACCCUCUCACCUGCCGUAAGCAUCUAAAAUAACCCUAUAAACCGUGCCGCAGAAUUAAAAGUUGCCCUUCUGGUUAAGCAUGGCUGCUUCUGCAACACUGGAGAGAUUUCCGGUUAUAUCUCCAGAAGAGUCCUAGCACACAGAAAAAUGAGGCAUCUUCCUGGGCCCACUGAUGUUCUUUUCCCAAGCAGAGCAGACCUGAGGAAACUUCUGGUCUCAGGGAAGAGAGCACAGACAGGAAGAGGUAUCAGGACUGGUGUUUCUGAUGUAGCUCUGUGUUCAGACUGCUCUAUAGAUGCACAGGAUGGACAAGGGGAAUGGAUCACUGACUUCUGCAUUGCAGAAUUCCAGGCCUCAAAGAGCCCCUCUUCAAAGCACCUUCACCACUGCUGUUGAACUCUCAAGCUUCACUUCCAGAAGGCUGCUGGCUGUGCAUUUCAGAGUUCAAUGCCAAAAGUUGGAGAAGGCAAGAAGUAUAGCUUUCUCCUAUCUCUAGGAGGGGAUGAUGUAGGUCAAGGGUAGAAACCAUUUUUCUGGCAGGAGCUUUUAUUGCUUUUAAUAUUGGGGAGAGGGAUAUAGUGUCAUCUGCUGGUUGUUCAAGAACAGCAAAUCCCUUUGUAGGUGUUUUCUGGGUUUCAGCCCUGCCUCCACACGUCUGCAUCUGCUCACUUGCAUGGUUCACAAUCAAUACUGACAAAGCGGUGGCUUCUUGGAUAAGUGAGAUAGCAUGGAAAAAAUAUUCCUACUUUAAGUCAGAUUAGCUCUGAGCAUCCCAGAGGGCUAGGGGUUCUCCGGGGGUACAUCUCUGUCUCUUCCUUGUCACACUUCCCCCUGGCCAUAACAUCAGCAAGUCAUCACUGGCCGCCUCACUUACCUGGAGUUCUGGGUUUGCUCCCAGCUCUGGACUCCGGGCCACCUGGAAUUCUGAGCAGGUUCCACAAAGUCAACCCUUACAUCCUAGCAGUGACGCUUUAUAUUCCUUUCACAACAAUACCUUUCAUUCUAGAACUCAUUCUACUUUCACAGCUAUUACUGCAUUCACUUCUCACGGGCCUUUCAAAAAUUGAAAAAUGAAUUUCCAUAGUGUAAGUAUAGUAUCUGCAGUUCCUUUAUUACCACCGGGAAAACCAAAACCACUUACAGAAACAUACAGUU